rnacentral:RNase_P_RNA from 1 species
UCUGCGAGAACUGAUCGCUGGAAACAGAGGAAAGUCCGUGCUGCCACUAUCUGAGAUGAUAGUAGUGAUCGUGCUGAGGCUAAUAACCUCAGGCAGAAAUGACAACGGUGAACGCCUAAGUCGUAAGAUAUGGAACUAGCCAUAAAGUGCCACAGAAACGAAUACUGUUAGAAAUGACAGGGUGAAAAGGGGUAAACUUCGCGAGGCAGAAACCCAAAUUUUGGUAGGGGAGUCUAGCAAAAGGAAUUGAACGGAUGCUAGGUAGAGUAAUCUAAGAUAAAUGAUGAGUUGAAAAACAGAACACGGCUUAUAAGAGCA